ensembl:lncRNA
GGGGAGGAGUAGAGGAGGAGUAGAGGAGGAGUAGUGGAGGAGGAGGGCCGGUGUGGGGAGGAGUAGGGGAGGAGGAGGAGGAGGUGGAGGAGGAGGGCCGGUGUGGGGAGGAGUAGGGGAGGAGUAGAGGAGGAGUAGAGGAGGAGGAGGAGGGCCGGAGGAGUAGAGGAGGAGGAGGAGGAGGAUCAGGGUGGUGUGUUCAGAGGGCUGCAUCCCAGUGCUUCUGUGCUGCAGAAGAACGUAUUUAUUUUUGUUGUCAUAUCAUUUGAUCAUUAUUUCUCACAUCAACACUGUAACGGCCAGUAUGUGGAACGUUCCCUGCACCACACACACACACACACACACACACACACACACACACACACACACACACACACACACACACACACACACACACACACACACACACACACACACCUUCAUGGCUUUGUAUGGCUGCUCUAUCGAUGUCUUUAGUCUAAUGAGAGGAGGGAGCCCCCCUCGUCCUGUCUCUCCAUACCUCAUGGACCUCUCCAUACCGUCACUAACACCAGGAACUCAUGGACCUCUCACACACUGACUGUAUGUCGUACCUCCUUGCACUUAAUGUACGCACUGUGUGUUACUUAGCAUUGUGUAGCGUCUUAACCUGAUAUCUGUGCGGUCUCCGGGGAAUGGGUUAACCUAGUGAUUGUUAGGGCUUUGGUUCCAUGAACAUCCUCACUGUACCCACAGAGAUAUAUUGUUGUUUCUCUUUCUUCUGACUAAUGUACUUAUCGUAAGUUGUUUUGAACAAAAGCAUCUGCUGAAUGUCCUGAAUGUAAAUAUUGAGGUAUUGCAUUAAGGACAUUCUUUUAACUUGGCAUUAUUUCUUCCUAUAAAUUUAAUAAAUAAUUAUUCAGACCUGUGGCCUGCGUGUUGAAGAGUCAGUCAAUUUAAUAAAUGUUCUUGUGCGUGCG